UGCCAUCUCAGAUUUGUUAUUUUUUAUUUGUUCAUGGCAAGAAGGGGUGAAGAGAGGGGAUUUCAAAGUAAGCCUGAUGAAUUUGUCGCUUAGUAUUUGGUUGAUUCCUGAUUCACUAAGAAGUUGAUCAUGUGAAAAUGUUGUAUUUACCUACGAUGGAUUUCUAAGUAAGCUUGAUAAACCUGUGGUAUCUUUGUCAUUUUUCAAUUAAAACUAGGAACUAUGAAUAUCUAUAAAAACACAAGAAUAUGAAGAUCUGGAAUAUGUGAUGGAACUUGGAUAGUGGUGACACAAGGACCCUAAUUGGAGAUGGCAGCAGGUCGGGGUUUCCUCAGGCACCCAAGUUCAUCCAACCCACUUAAACCUUGUUUGUCUGCCCUUUACUCUUGUUUGAGAUGGUUCAAGCAGGAAAAUAGGUACUUGACUCAGGUUGGGCUUUAGAUUCGUGUACCUAGAUAGCGGGGUUUGGGUUCACAUACCCCAACUCAUCAUCAGGAAAAUAGGUACUUGACUCAGGUUGGGCUUUAGAUUCGUGUACCUAGAUAGCCGGGUUUGGGUUCACACACCCCAACUCAUCAUCAUUCCUGGUGUGAGGUAGGAAUGACAACAAGUCAGGUAUUCUUAGGUAUCUGGUCUACCCAUUCUGCUUGAAGGAUGUUCAGGUUCUCUUCAAUCGGGUUUGGGUAGGAAGGUAACCGUGCCAGGUUCAGGUGCAUAGAUAGCUAAUCAGUUUUGGGUGCGAUAGAAUUCGCGUAUACCUGACCAUUGCCAUCUUGAACCUUUAUGUCUGGG
rnacentral:lncRNA from 1 species